ACACUUCUUGUCUAAGACAAGUGAAGAAACGCUGAAGAAACAAUAGUUUCCAAAAUGGAUCCGGACAAAGCUAGCCCGUUCCCCUCUACCCUCCCGGAGUCCCCAGGUCAAACGUCUCCCAGUACUGCUUUACUGCUGGGUCUGGUUGACUGCAGGAAAACACCGGGGCAGAGUGGAACUGAGAGAGGAGGAGGAGAAGAUAAGGAAGAUGGAGAUUUGUUUUCAUUAAGUAAGAACCAUGGGGACAGCCCUAACCGUUGCUCUCUCAGUGGGAGGGGCUUAUCAUAAGGGGAGCCUCAACAACAACAUGAUGCUGACAAGACGUCUCUCCAGAAGAGUCUCUCCAGAUCAGAACGUCUCAAUAAACACCAGCAGAGACUUGUAGGGAAGAAACCUCACCACCGCUGCUCUGACUGUGGGAAGAGUUUUACUAAACAGAGAAAAUUGGUCAUUCACCAGCGGAUUCAUGCUGGAGGAAGCCUUAUAGCUGUGAUAAGUGUGGGAAGAGUUUUGCCCAAGAUUUCACCGUGACCAAACACCGACUUAUACACACAGGGGAGAAGCCUUAUAGUUGUGAUCAGUGUGGGAAGAGCUUUAAUCAAUCAGCAGCCCUGAGCAGACACCAAUGCAUACACACUGGAGAGAGACAGGAGUAAGGUGUAUGUGGAAAGAGCUUUGCUCAAUCAGGGUCACUGAAAAAACACCAGAAAGCACAAACAUGUUUUCUUUCUUCUCCCUCCUCUCAGUCACCGGUUCAAGAUAUCUAAAUAAAGUUUGAACAGAAAACAUGUUGUAAAGAGUCAGCUCUGGAACCAUAUGUAUCAAGCUUCUUGGAGUAGGAGUGCUGUGGGUUGGCGGUGGGGGUGUUCAGAGCUGUAUCUUAUUUCAGUAACUCCUAUUAUCCAUUAAUUAAUUGUAUAAUGUAGAAUAAUGUUUCAACAAUACAAGGUGUGUAUUCAUGUAUUCAAUAGAUCAAUAAAUUAAAUCCAUUA